rnacentral:rRNA from 1 species
ACGGGAGGCAGCAGUGGGGAAUAUUGCGCAAUGGGGGAAACCCUGACGCAGCGACGCCGCGUGAGCGAAGAAGGUUUUCGGAUUGUAAAGCUCUGUCCUGGGGGACGAUAAUGACGGUACCCCGGGAGGAAGUCACGGCUAACUACGUGCCAGCAGCCGCGGUAAAACGUAGGUGGCAAGCGUUGUCCGGAAUUACUGGGUGUAAAGGGUGCGCAGGUGGUCUGGCAAGUCGAAUGUGAAAUCUACGGGCUCAACUCGUAAAUUGCGUUCGAUACUGUUGGACUUGAGUGAAGUAGAGGCAGGCGGAAUUCCCGGUGUAGCGGUGGAAUGCGUAGAUAUCGGGAGGAACACCAGUGGCGAAGGCGGCCUGCUGGGCUUUAACUGACACUGAGGCACGAAAGCGUGGGUAGCAAACAGGAUUAGAUACCCUGGUA